GAUGAACGCUGGCGGCGUGCCUAAUACAUGCAAGUCGAGCGAACAGACGAGGAGCUUGCUCCUCUGACGUUAGCGGCGGGCGGGUGAGUAACACGUGGAUAACCUACCUAUAAGACUGGGAUAACUUCGGGAAACCGGAGCUAAUACCGGAUAAUAUAUUGAACCGCAUGGUUCAAUAGUGAAAGACGGUUUUGCUGUCACUUAUAGAUGGAUCCGUGGUGGAUUGGUUAGUUGGUAAGGUAACGGCUUACCAAGGCAACCAUGCGUAGCCGACCGGCGAGCGGGUACGGCGCCACUGGAAGUGAGCCACGGCCCAGACACCUACGGACGGCAGCGGUACGUAAUGUUCGGCGAUGGGGGGAAUACUGACGGAUCGGCGCCGCGUGGAUGCAGAAGCUCCUCGGGUCGUAAAACGCUGUUAUUGGUGAAGAACAAAUUUGUAAGUAACUAUGCACGUCUUGACGGUACCUAAUCAGAAAGCAACGGCUAACUACGUG
rnacentral:rRNA from 1 species